rnacentral:lncRNA from 1 species
AUGCAGGGUUACUAUAGCAACUGCUCUCUCUUCUCUGCUCUCUUUCUGCUCUCUCUCUUCUCUGCUCUCUUUCUGCUCGCUCUCUCUGCUCUCUCCCUGUUCUCUGCUCUCUCUGUUCUCUGCUCUCUCUUCUCUGCUCUCUUUCUGCUCUCUCUCUCUUCUCUGCUCUCUUUCUGCUCUCUCUCUCUUCUCUGCUCUCUUUCUGCUCUCUCUCUGUUCUCUGCUCUCUCUGUUCUCUGCUCUCUCUCUGCUCUCUUUCUGCUCGCUCUCUCUGCUCUCUCUGCCCUCUCUCUUCUCUGCUCUCUUUCUGCUCGCUCUCUCUGCUCUCUCUGCUCUCUUUCUGCUCUCUCUCUCUUCUAUGCUCUCUUUCUGCUCGCUCUCUCUGCUCUCUCUGCCCUCUUCUCUCUCACGCUCUGCUCUCUUCUCCUCGCUCUGCUCUAUCAGCUCUCUCAGCCUGCUCUCUGCUCUCUCUCUCUGCUCUCUUUUCUCUGCUCUCUGCUCUCUCUCUGCUCUCUCUUUUCUCUGCUCUCUCUUUUCUCUGCCCUCUCUCUCUCUUUUCUCUGCUCUCUCUCUCACUCUCUGCUCUCUCUCUCUCCCACAUUCUGCUCUCUCUGCUCUCUCUCCCACACACUCUGCUCUCUCUGCUCUCUCUCCCACACACUCUGCUCUCUCUCCCACACACUCUGCUCUCUCUCUGCUCUCUCUCCCACACUCUGCUCUCUCUCUCCCACACACUCUGCUCUCUCUCUCUCUCUCCCACACACUCUAAUCUCUCUCUCUCUGCUCUCUCUCCCACACUCUCUGCUCUCUCUCCCACACUCUCUGCUCUCUCUCUCCCACACUUUCUGCUCUCUCUCUCUCCCAGUCUGCUCUCUCUGCUCUCUCUCUCUCUCUCCCACACACUCUAAUCUCUCUCUCUCUGCUCUCUCUCCCACACUCUCUGCUCUCUCUCCCACACUCUCUGCUCUCUCUCUCUCCCACACUUUCUGCUCUCUCUCUCUCCCAGUCUGCUCUCUCUGCUCUCUCUCUCUCUGCUCUCUCUCCCACACUCUGCUCUCUCUCCCACACUCUGCUCUCUCUCCCACACUCUGCUCUCUCUCUCCCACACUCUGCUCUCUCUCUCCCACACUCUGCUCUCUGCUCUCUCUAUCUCUCACUUUCUCUAUCGUAACAGUGGUGCAGUUUGGACAAUCACCACUUGAUGGCAGUGUUAAACCAGAAGUGAUGAAAACAACAUCACUGCAGAGAGAGAGAGAGCGAGAGAGAGAGAGAGUCUAA